rnacentral:lncRNA from 1 species
CUCUAUUUUGUCAUCAGUAACAACAUAUUAAAAUUUCAAAAGCUUUGGUUGAAUGGUUCAUGAGAAAAUGCACGGACACGACGGGAAAAAACCAUUUUUCAAUCUUUCAAGAACCAUAACUCCUGAACGGUAAAAGUCAAAAUCGUCAUUAUUGAACUUGACCUCCAUUUUGUCAUCAGUAACAGCAUAUUAAAAUUUCGGAAGCUUUGGUAGAACAGUUCAUGCAUAAAUGCACGGACACGACUGGAAACUCCAUUUUUCAAUCUUUCAAGAACCAUAACUCCUGAACGGUAAAAGUCAAAUUCGUCAUUAUUGAACUUGACCUCCAUUCUUUCAUUAGUAACAACAUAUUAAAAUUUGGGAAGCUUUGGUAGAACAGUUCAUGCGUAAAUGCACGGACAACUCCAUUUUUCAAUCUUUCAAGAACCAUAACUCCUGAACGGUAAAAGUCAAAAUCGCCAUUAUUGAACUUGACCUUCAUUUAGUUGUCAGUAACAUCAUAUUAAAAUUUUAAAAGCUUUGGUUGAA